rnacentral:rRNA from 1 species
GAUGAACGCUGGCGGCGUGCCUAAUACAUGCAAGUCGAGCGAACAGACGAGGAGCUUGCUCCUCUGACGUUAGCGGCGGACGGGUGAGUAACGCGUGGAUAACCUACCUAUAAGACUGGGAUAACUUCGGGAAACCGGAGCUAAUACCGGAUAAUAUAUUGAACCGCAUGGUUCAAUAGUGAAAGACGGUUUUGCUGUCACUUAUAGAUGGAUCCGCGCCGCAUUAGCUAGUUGGUAAGGUAACGGCUUACCAAGGCAACGAUGCGUAGCCGACCUGAGAGGGUGAUCGGCCACACUGGAACUGGGACACGGUCCAGACUCCUACGGGAGGCAGCAGUAGGGAAUCUUCCGCAAUGGGCGAAAGCCUGACGGAGCAACGCCGCGUGAGUGAUGAAGGUCUUCGGAUCGUAAAACUCUGUUAUUAGGGAAGAACAAAUGUGUAAGUAACUAUGCACGUCUUGACGGUACCUAAUCAGAAAGCCACGGCUAACUACGUG